AUACGGAGGAUGCGAGCGUUAUCCGGAUUUAUUGGGUUUAAAGGGAGCGUAGGCGGGAGCUUAAGUCAGCGGUUAAAUGGUGCGGCUCAACCGUGCCCUGCCGUUGAAACUGGGUUUCUUGAGAGUGCAAGAGGCGGAUGGAAUUCAUGGUGUAGCGGUGAAAUGCUUAGAUAUCAUGAAGAACUCCGAUUGCGAAGGCAGUCCGCUGGGGCACGUCUGACGCUGAUGCUCGAAGGUGCGGGAAGCAAACAGGAUUAGAUACCCUGGUAGUCCGCACGGUAAACGAUGAUUACCCGCUGUCGGCGGCAGACAGUCGGCGGCCAAGCGAAAGCGAUAAGUAAUCCACCUGGGGAGUACGCCGGCAACGGUGAAACUCAAAUGAAUUGACGGGG
rnacentral:rRNA from 1 species